rnacentral:lncRNA from 1 species
UACACACUUUAUAACAUAACACAUAUCAUACCUUUAUAUUUCAAUCAUCAGAAAAUAGAUUUCCUCUUUUACCAGCCUGCUAGUAUCCAUGGGGAUCCAUAGGGGGACCCCGCUACACAUGAACCAUUAACAUUUACAACCUGAUUCCAGGGCCGUCCCCAUACUUCGUCCGGUAUGGGCGCCAAAACCAUGAACCUCAAUACCCCGUCCUGUAUGAGGGUGAAACGAGCCAUCCCCAUACCCCGUCCGGUAUGGGCGCCAAAACCAUGAACCUCAAUACCCCGUCCGGUAUGAGGGUGAAACGGGCCGUCCCCAUACCCCGUCCGGUAUGGGCGCCAAAACACAUAAGGUCUCCAUACCCCGUCCGGUAUGAGAGACCACGUUCCUGGUAGGGUUCCCUACGGACUCGGUCUGUCCACCAUCUUCUAGGAUAUCUAGUCAGGCUGUCCACAUUUUCAACUCAUCAAUUCACAUAACUUUUUUGCCAUUUUCCUUGGUCUCACUCAUCCAACCAUACAUAA